GACGAACGCUGGCGGCGUGCUUAACACAUGCAAGUCGAACGAAGUGGCGAACGGGUGAGUAACGCGUAAUCAACCUGCCCUUCAGAGGGGGACAACAGUUGGAAACGACUGCUAAUACCGCAUACUGAAGGAGGGGAUUGCGUCUGAUUAGCUAGUUGGAGGGGUAACGGCCCACCAAGGCGAUGAUCAGUAGCCGGUCUGGGGGGGUGGACGGCCACAUUGGGACUGAGACACGGCCCAGACUCCUAAGGGAGGGAGCAGUUGGGAAACUUCCGCAAUGGGCGAAAGUCUUGCGGAGCAACUCCGCCGGAGUGAUGGCGGCCUUCGGGUUGGAAAGCUCUGUUAAUCGGGACGCGGUACCGGAAUAGAAAGCCACGGCUAACUACGUGCCAGCAGCCGCGGUAAUUC
rnacentral:rRNA from 1 species